rnacentral:rRNA from 1 species
AUUGAACGCUGGCGGCAGGCCUAACACAUGCAAGUCGAACGGUAACAGGAAGAAGCUUGCUUCUUUGCUGACGAGUGGCGGACGGGUGAGUAAUGUCUGGGAAACUGCCUGAUGGAGGGGGAUAACUACUGGAAACGGUAGCUAAUACCGCAUAACGUCGCAAGACCAAAAAGGGGGACCUUCGGGCCUCUUGCCAUCGGAUGUGCCCAGAUGGGAUUAGCUAGUAGGUGGGGUAACGGCUCACCUAGGCGACGAUCCCUAGCUGGUCUGAGAGGAUGACCAGCCACACUGGAACUGAGACACGGUCCAGACUCCUACGGGAGGCAGCAGUGGGGAAUAUUGCACAAUGGGCGCAAGCCUGAUGCGGCCAUGCCGCGUGUAUGAAGAAGGCCUUCGGGUUGUAAAGUACUUUCAGCGGGGAGGAAGGGAGUAAAGUUAAUACCUUUGCUCAUUGACGUUACCCGCAGAAGAAGCACCGGCUAACUCCGUG